UACGAAGGGGGCUAGCGUUGCUCGGAAUUACUGGGCGUAAAGGGCGCGUAGGCGGAUAUCUAAGUCGGGGGUGAAAGCCCGGGGCUCAACCUCGGAAUUGCCUUCGAUACUGGAUAUCUUGAGUUCGGGAGAGGUGAGUGGAAUGCCGAGUGUAGAGGUGAAAUUCGUAGAUAUUCGGCGGAACACCAGUGGCGAAGGCGGCUCUCUGGUACGUGACUGACGCUGAGACGCGAAAGCGUGGGGAGCAAACAGG
rnacentral:rRNA from 1 species